AGUGAACGCUGGCGGUAGGCCUAACACAUGCAAGUCGAGCGGCAGCACAGUAAGAGCUUGCUCUUACGGGUGGCGAGUGGCGGACGGGUGAGGAAUACAUCGGAAUCUACUUUUUCGUGGGGGAUAACGUAGGGAAACUUACGCUAAUACCGCAUACGACCUACGGGUGAAAGCAGGGGAUCUUCGGACCUUGCGCGAUUGAAUGAGCCGAUGUCGGAUUAGCUAGUUGGCGGGGUAAAGGCCCACCAAGGCGACGAUCCGUAGCUGGUCUGAGAGGAUGAUCAGCCACACUGGAACUGAGACACGGUCCAGACUCCUACGGGAGGCAGCAGUGGGGAAUAUUGGACAAUGGGCGCAAGCCUGAUCCAGCCAUACCGCGUGGGUGAAGAAGGCCUUCGGGUUGUAAAGCCCUUUUGCUGGGAAAGAAAAGCAGCAGGUUAAUACCCCGCUGUUCUGACGGUACCCAAAGAAUAAGCACCGGCUAACUUCGUG
rnacentral:rRNA from 1 species